rnacentral:rRNA from 1 species
GCUAUUUAGGUAGCGCCUCGUGAAUUCAUCUCCGGGGGUAGAGCACUGUUUCGGCAAGGGGGUCAUCCCGACUUACCAACCCGAUGCAAACUGCGAAUACCGGAGAAUGUUAUCACGGGAGACACACGGCGGGUGCUAACGUCCGUCGUGAAGAGGGAAACAACCCAGACCGCCAGCUAAGGUCCCAAAGUCAUGGUUAAGUGGGAAACGAUGUGGGAAGGCCCAGACAGCCAGGAUGUUGGCUUAGAAGCAGCCAUCAUUUAAAGAAAGCGUAAUAGCUCACUGGUCGAGUCGGCCUGCGCGGAAGAUGUAACGGGGCUAAACCAUGCAC